rnacentral:tRNA from 1 species
GAGCUUGAACCUUAAGGAAAGGCAUAUAACUGAUAAUUAAAUGUACGAGGUUCAAAUCCUCUCAAGCUCU